rnacentral:miRNA from 1 species
AUGCACUGAGAGAUUAUGUUCU